GGAGUGCGUUCGGUGCGCCGUGGGUCCGCGCUGCUUCCACCCAACUUCCUGUUAGUUUCUCUCCUGUCACAAUGGCAUGAUCUCGGCUCACUGCGACCUCUGCUUCCUGGGUUCAAGGAUUCUCCUGCCUCAGCCUCCCAAGUAGCUGGGAUUACAGUUUCCAUCAUUAUCUUCUAUGGAGUUCUUCAUUCCCACAUCUGUGGACCUUAAAAUCCUACCGUUGAGUGCCUGCCUUGGAUCAGCAGUCAGUUCGUUACCUUGGUUCUCAGACGAUGCUUGCAACAACGCCAUGCGAUUCGCCCACUCUUGGAGAAAAUAAGAGAAGUAUCCCUGAAGGAUGAAAUAUCCUCGAAUAUGAAAAGGUCUGCUCUCUGAAGACCAACUGUCUCAGUCUGCUUUUUGCUGCUGUAACAGAAUACCACAGACUUGUAGGCAGAGAAGCCUUCAGAGAAGGAUCCUGACUCGGUGGUUUGUGCAGUGACAUUUGGCAGUGUUUUCUCGGCAAGCGAGUCUUUGAGGCUGCCCUCAUGCUGCUCAGUGGGCACACCAAGAACAAGAGCUGGCCAGGGAUGACGGACGCAUCUAGGCCUUCUCGGCCUAAGGGUUACAUUAGUUAUACACUCUGGAGGUGACUUGACCUGUCAUUGUGAACAAUUAUUGCUCUUGGACGACCCAGGACAUAGGCCAGCCAGUACGUACCCCAGUGUGUUGGAGAAUCGCGCUCGGCUUCUUCCUCUGUGCUGAGUCAUGAAAGUUGCCGGAGCAGG
rnacentral:lncRNA from 10 species